rnacentral:misc_RNA from 1 species
GAAGAAUGGAAAUCAUGUUUCAUGAAAGCAAUGAAAAAAGAAGUGGUGACUGACUGAAGCUUCAACAUUUCGAAGGAAGUAACUGAGGGGAAUGCUGCCGUAUGCCUGCAACGAAGCAUGCCAAAAAAUAAAAAGAGAAAAUAUGACUGGCUGCCUAAAUUUCCAAUACAAAGGGCUUGCCAUCGAGCAACAUUUUUCCCCAUUAACAUCGUGGCAUGUGCUCUACCUCUACGCACUUUUAAUCAUCACCAGUAUGAUUGCUCCUCUACCAC